UACGGAGGGGGCUAGCGUUGUUCGGAAUUACUGGGCGUAAAGGGCUCGUAGGUGGCCAACUAAGUCAGACGUGAAAUCCCCAGGCUUAACCUGGGAACUGCGUCUGAUACUGGAUGGCUUGAAUUCGGGAGAGGGAUGCAGAAUUCCAGGUGUAGCGGUGAAAUGCGUAGAUAUCUGGAGGAAUACCGGUGGCGAAGGCGGCAUCCUGGACCGAGAUUGACACUGAUGAGCGAAAGCUAGGGGAGCAAACGGG
rnacentral:rRNA from 1 species